rnacentral:rRNA from 1 species
CGCUAGCGACAGGCUUAACACAUGCAAGUCGAGGGGCAGCGGGGAAGUAGCAAUACUUCCGCCGGCGACCGGCGCACGGGUGAGUAACACGUAUGGAACCUGCCCGUAGCAGGGGGAUAAGCGGAAGAAAUUCCGUCUAAUACCGCGUAAUAACUCCGAGAGGCAUCUCAUGGAGUUUAAAGGGUAACACCGGCUACGGAUGGCCAUGCGGCGCAUUAGCUAGUUGGCGGGGUAACGGCCCACCAAGGCGACGAUGCGUAGGGGUUCUGAGAGGAAGGUCCCCCACACUGGUACUGAGACACGGACCAGACUCCUACGGGAGGCAGCAGUGAGGAAUAUUGGUCAAUGGGCGCGAGCCUGAACCAGCCAAGUCGCGUGAGGGAAGACGGUCCUAUGGAUUGUAAACCUCUUUUGUCGGGGAGCAAAAGACGUCACGUGUGGCGUUCCGAGAGUACCCGAANAAAAAGCAUCGGCUAACUCCGUGCCAGCAGCCGCGGUAAUACGGAGGAUGCGAGCGUUAUCCGGAUUUAUUGGGUUUAAAGGGUGCGCAGGCGGAAGAUCAAGUCAGCGGUAAAAUUGAGGGGCUCAACCUCUUCGAGCCGUUGAAACUGGUUUUCUUGAGUGAGCGAGAAGUAUGCGGAAUGCGUGGUGUAGCGGUGAAAUGCAUAGAUAUCACGCAGAACUCCGAUUGCGAAGGCAGCAUACCGGCGCUCAACUGACGCUCAUGCACGAAAGUGUGGGUAUCGAACAGGAUUAGAUACCCUGGUAGUCCACACAGUAAACGAUGAAUACUAAUUGUUCGGGGAGAAUGAUCCCUGAGUGAUACAGCGAAAGCGUUAAGUAUUCCACCUGGGGAGUACGCCGGCAACGGUGAAACUCAAAGGAAUUGACGGGGGCCCGCACAAGCGGAGGAACAUGUGGUUUAAUUNGAUGAUACGCGAGGAACCUUACCCGGGCUCAAACGACACAGGAAUACUUUUGAAAGGAGGUAGCUCUACGGAGCCUGUGUCGAGGUGCUGCAUGGUUGUCGUCAGCUCGUGCCGUGAGGUGUCGGCUUAAGUGCCAUAACGAGCGCAACCCCCAUCGCCAGUUACCAGCAAGUCAAGUUGGGGACUCUGGCGAGACUGCCGGCGCAAGCUGUGAGGAAGGCGGGGAUGACGUCAAAUCAGCACGGCCCUUACGUCCGGGGCGACACACGUGUUACAAUGGCAGGUACAGAGAGAAGCAAUGCGGCGACGCAAAGCGGAACUUGAAAGCCUGUCUCAGUUCGGAUUGGAGUCUGCAACUCGACUCCAUGAAGCUGGAUUCGCUAGUAAUCGCGCAUCAGCCAUGGCGCGGUGAAUACGUUCCCGGGCCUUGUACACACCGCCCGUCAAGCCAUGGAAGCCGGGAGUGCCUGAAGUGUGCAACCGCAAGGAGCGCCCUAAGGUAAAACUGGUGACUGGGGCUAAGUCGUAACAAG